UUUUCAUCUAAGUUUCUUCUUCACUUAAAAGGCUAAAGCUGCUCCAAACGAUUGUCUGUGACCUUCCAAUCCGAAACAUUCCGGUUUCAUGCAUUUCGCUGAUAUAUCGGUUUUCUUUUCCCUUCAUCUUUCUGUGUAGUAGACUGUAAUUGGCGAAGUUAAAGGGAAUCUACUGAUUAAGAUUUUGGUGUGGCAUUUGAAGAGCAAAUUGAUUGAGAUGAAGAUUUAGAGGAAUUUAUGUAUGCUGUGCUUCAAUCAGUAAGAGAAGGCAAAGAAUAAUCAAGGUGAUUCUGCAGAAUCUAAGAGCAAGUAAAGCAUAUCAGGAAUCACCCGAGCUUGAGAUUUCACGAAGAUUAGGUGAGCGAGAGAAACAGAAACAGCAUACGGGGUAGAAACGGAAAAAAAAAAAAGCGAAAAGAAAGGAAUAAAAGAUGUUUACGUGUAUAGCGUGCACAAAGCCUAUGACCGAAGACGGAGAAGACGGAACGCGCGGAAGUGGAACGCCAAGCACCAGGGAAGCCGUCAAAAGCCUGACGGCUCAGAUCAAAGAUAUGGCGUUGAAAUUUUCCAGUCGACAAUGCAAACCCUGCGCAGGCUCAAGCACUUUCAAGAAAGGACAGCGUCCUUACCCUGACUUCGAUAUGGCUUCUGAGGGGGUUCCAUAUCCCUAUUUUGGAGCUGGAAGCUCAAGCUCAACACCUGCAUGGGAUUUUACAAGCACUGGUCCCCAUCGAGGCGUAAGAGCUGACUCAAGAUUUACUGG
rnacentral:misc_RNA from 1 species